AAGGAGAACUUGACGUCGGCCAUGCUGAUUCGGGCAGUCAUAUCCUCAUCAAUCUGAGGAAGAGAAGAUAGAUAAUGUGGAAGGAGAAACCUUGCCUGUCCAGGAUUCUGAUUCUGGCGACUCCCAAAGCCAUCCGAUUAAGACCUUCAAAGGUCUUCAGACCCCUGAGCUUCAAACCUAACCAACUACCACCUGAAAUCUCAACAAAUACAUAUGAUUCACUGUCUUCAUCAACAUCUCCCACUAGCCUUUUUUCCUUGGCAUGCUCCAUCUCAUUAAAUGGUAGCAUUUUA